CGGUAGCUGCGAUUCACGUUAGGUCAUAAAAUCCCGGGGCCAACGAUGACUUCUAGGGAGCUGUCCCUGUCCGACUUGUGGGUCGGAUAAACGGUGCCCACCUGCAUUUCGCAGGCCUGGAGGAUCGAGAUGGCCGACGGUUUGGUGGCGCCGCC
rnacentral:other from 1 species